ACGGAAGGCAGCAGUGGGGAAUAUUGGACAAUGGGCGAAAGCCUGACCCAGCAACGCCGCGUGAAGGAAGAAGGCCUUCGGGUUGUAAACUUCUUUUGUCAGGGACGAAGGACGUGACGGUACCUGACGAAUAAGCAACGGCUAACUACGUGCCAGCAGCCGCGGUAAUACGUAGGGGGCAAGCGUUAUCCGGAUUUACUGGGUGUAAAGGGAGCGUAGACGGUUCUGCAAGUCUGAUGUGAAAGGCAGGGGCUCAACUCCUGGACUGCAUUGGAAACUGUAGAACUAGAGUGCCGGAGAGGUAAGCGGAAUUCCUAGUGUAGCGGUGAAAUGCGUAGAUAUUAGGAGGAACACCAGUGGCGAAGGCGGCUUACUGGACGGUAACUGACGUUGAGGCUCGAAAGCGUGGGGAGCAAACAGGAUUAGAUACCCUGGUA
rnacentral:rRNA from 1 species